GAUGAACGCUGGCGGCGUGCCUAAUACAUGCAAGUCGAGCGAACGGACGAGAAGCUUGCUUCUCUGAUGUUAGCGGCGGACGGGUGAGUAACACGUGGAUAACCUAUCUAUAAGACUGGGAUAACUUCGGGAAACCGGAGCUAAUACCGGAUAAUAUUUUGAACCGCAUGGUUCAAAAGUGAAAGACGGUCUUGCUGCCACUUAUAGAUGGAUCCGCGCUGCAUUAGCUAGUUGGUAAGGUAACGGCUUACCAAGGCAACGAUGCAUAGCCGACCUGAGAGGGUGAUCGGCCACACUGGAACUGAGACACGGUCCAGACUCCUACGGGAGGCAGCAGUCGGGAAUCUUCCGCAAUGGGCGAAAGCCUGACGGAGCAACGCCGCGUGAGUGAUGAAGGUCUUCGGAUCGUAAAACUCUGUUAUUGGGGAAGAACAGAUGUGGAAGUAACUGUGCACAUCUUGACGGUACCUAAUCAGAAAGCCACGGCUAACUACGUG
rnacentral:rRNA from 1 species